ACGAUCGCUGGCACAUUAUUAACACUCAAGUCGAGUGGUAACAGCCCUUCGGAUGCACCGAGUGGCGAACGGGUGAGUAAUGCAUCGGAACGUGCCCAGUAGUGGGGGAUAGCCCGGCGAAAGCCGGAUUAAUACCGCAUACGACCUGAGGGUGAAAGGGCAGGAUCGCAAGACCUCUCGCUAUUGCAGCGGCCGAUGUCAGAUACUUAGUUGGUGGGGUAAUGAGCCUACCAAGGCAACGAUCUGUAGUUGGUCUGAGAGGACGACCAGCCACACUGGGACUGAGACACGGCCCAGACUCCUACGGGAGGCAGCAGUGGGGAAUUUUGGACAAUGGGCGCAAGCCUGAUCCAGCAAUGACCGCGUGCAGGAAGAAGGCCUUCGGGUUGUAAACUGCUAGUGUCAGGGAAGACAAUCUUCUGGGUUAAUACCUCGGCGAGGAUGACGGUACUUGAAGAAUAAGCACCGGCUAACUACGUGCCACAAGCCGCGGUAAUACGUAGGGUGCGAGCGUUAAUCCUAUAUACUGGGCGUAAAGCGUGCGCAGGCGGCUUUGCAAGACAGAGGUGAAAUCGACGGGCUCAACCUGGGAACUGCCUUUGUGACUGCAAGGCUAGAGUACGGCAGAGGCUUGGAAUUCCGCGUGUAGCAGUGAAAUGCGUAGAUAUGCGGAGGAACACCAAUGGCGAAGGCAAUCCCCUGGGCCUGUACUGACGCUCAUGCACGAAAGCGUGGGGAGCAAACAGGAUUAGAUACCCUGGUAGUCCACGCCCUAAACGAUGUCAACUGGUUAGUUGGACGGCUUGCUGUUCAGUAACGAAGCUAACGCGUGUCGUUGACCGCCUGGCAGGAGUACGGCCGCAAGGUUGAAACUCACUCGAAUUGACGGGGACCCGCACAAGCGGUGGAUGAUGUACUUAAUUCGAUGCAACGCGAGCAACCUUACCUACCCUUGACAUGCUAGGUAAUCUUGCAGAGAUGUGAGAGUGCUCGUCGAGAACCUAGAACAGGUGCUGCAUCCCGUCGCCAGAUCGUGUCGUGAGAUGUUGCUUAAGUCCCGCAACGAGCGCAACCCUUGUCAUCAGUUGCUACGAAAGGGCACUCUGAUGAGACUGCCGGUGACAAACCGGAGGUGGGGAUGACGUCAGGUCCUCAUGGCCCUUAUGGGUAGGGCUACACACGUCAUACAAUGGCCGGUACAGAGGGCUGCCAACCCGCGAGGAGCCAAUCCCAGAAGAUGGUCGUAGUCCGGAUCGCAGUCUGCAACUCGACUGCGUUGAAGUCGGAAUCGCUAGUAAUCGCGGAUCAGCUUAGCCGCGGUGAAUACGUUCCCGGGUCUUGUGUUACCGCCCGUCACACCAUCGCGGAGCGGGUUCUGCCCAGAAAGUAGUUAGCGCUGAACCGCCUCAGAGCUG
rnacentral:rRNA from 1 species